rnacentral:rRNA from 1 species
ACGCAAUAGAUACCCAGGUAGUCCUGGCCGUAAACGAUGACCACCCAGAUGCAUGAAAGAUCGACCCUUUGUGUGUCCAAGCUAACGCGCUAAGUGGUCCGCCUGGGGAGUACGAUCGCAAGAUUAAAACUCAAAGGAAUUGACGGGGACCCGCACAAGCAGCAGAGCGUGUGGUUUAAUUCGAUGCGACGCGCAGAACCUUACCAGGGUUUGACAUGGAUUCGCACCGCCUUGAAAGAGGCGUUCCCGCAAGGGACGUAUCCACAGGUGCUGCAUGGCUGUCGUCAGCUCGUGCCGUGAGGUGUCGGG